CUUGAGGUGGCCGCCUGGGACUCCCUCCUCCAAGACAUCGCCCUUAUGCCGAUGAACGUUGAGGAGGAUCAGGAUGCUGUCUCCUGGCACCUUGAGCCCUCUGGCCGUUUCUCUAUGAAGUCCCUGUACGGUGCAAUUGCGCCAUCGGCGGCCCCCGAACCCUUUAGCCUUAUCUCGGACAUCCGCCUACCACUGAAGAUCACGAUCUUCCUGUGGCAAUGGAUCCAUGGAAGCCUCCCUUCUGGGGUUGAAGUCCUCAAGCGUAAUGGCCAAGGCGAUGGGAUGUGCCCCAUCUGGGGCACGGUAGAGGAUGCUAACCACAUCUUUUUCUCGUGCCACUCGGCCCAGUUCCUUUGGGCCUGCUUCCGCGACCUGCUGGCGGACAGUGGUGUAAUACCAACUUUCCCGACCUGCUGGCGGAGCUCAACGCAUCCCCCUCUUGCUAUCGCCAUAUUAGAUGGUUGUGCGUGGGGGUCCUUGCCUGGACGCUUUGGAACAUUCGCAAUAAGCUUGUUAUUCAGAAGGUCCCCCUCCGACGUGCGACUGACGCUAUCUUCAAAUUGUGUGGUUACCUGCAGCUUUGGCGGCCGCUUAGCCGCCCCCAGGACCGGGACGUCAUCACCACCCUCCUCUCCAAUCCCCGCUCGAUGGCACUCCAUGUGGCUCCCCCGAUGCCACCUCCACCCCCUGAGGCUGACUAGUUCUCCUGGCGGCUUUGUGGUGUGUGUAUUUUGUGUUUAG
rnacentral:rRNA from 1 species